GACAGAUGGAAGACGCCAGAGCCUUAACUCAGUCGUGUUAAUGCCUUUGGAUUACUCACCCGCCUCAAAGUCUCACUCGAAGAACCAGCACCUUAAGAAUCCCCGACGCUCAGAUAUUGCUCUGGCACUCCACUCAUACUCCCUGGAUAUUACCCAGGGAGUAUGAGACCCCUUCCCUGGAUUCUGCUGGUGCACUCACUCUGGUCAUCCAUCUGUCCCUCCUGUCUACUGAGGCGCGCUCCGGAUCCCUCGCCAGCUUACCAUCUGUCCGCCCUCCAGCUACUAGCCACCGUUCAUCCACUGAGAGCUUCGGUCACAGAGUUUCCCUAACACUACUUCCCCGGUUAGGUUAGCUCGACUAAAUGUAACCUCAGCCCUGACGUUCAGACCUCGACCGAUCCUGCAGCUUGUCGAUCCCCUGUAGUCUGUACCCUCAAAUAAACAUCUUAAAAGUGUGCUUGUCUUCCGUUCGUAUCUGCAUGUGGGCUAAACACUUGAAAAACAUGACACUGACAUUAUGCCAUUGAAUUGUUGCGCUCUGCUCCCUGGUGGCAACUUCAAUUUCACGGGACUGUUCCAACGUCGUCGCAAGAUACUCCAGAUCAAGCUGUUGCUGUUGGCUGCAGACAAACUGGACACAGGUGGGCUCAAGAUGGUAGUGGUCAAGAGGCAGUGACGGCGGUGUAGGGGCAUCCACAUGACAAAUAUUAUCCGGCUGACUGGUAGUGGAUGCUGAAAAGCAAACGGACUGCCUUCCUGGACCUUACCAAAGGCUGAAUCAACUAAAAGCACAUCAGCACUGAUUGCCAUUGUAGUAAUAAGAGGUGAAAGGUCCGCUGGAAAGUCCUGGUACACCUCUGCUACCCUGAGAACAUCAAAGUCUGGUGUGUCACCUAGCACUGCCUUUUAAC